UAUCAAAGGUCAGCUGGUACAGGAUGGACCCGCGUCUGAUUACCUAGUUGGUGAGAUAAAAGCUCACCAAGGCGACGAUCAGUAGCCGACCUGAGAGGGUGAUCGGCCACAUUGGAACUGAGACACGGUCCAAACUCCUACGGGAGGCAGCAGUGGGGAAUAUUGCACAAUGGGAGAAAGCCUGAUGCAGCAACGCCGCGUGAGUGAUGAAGGUUUUCGGAUCGUAAAACUCUGUCCUCAAGGAAGAUAAUGACGGUACUUGAGGAGGAAGCCCCGGCUAACUACGUGCCAGCAGCCGCGGUAAUACGUAGGGGGCUAGCGUUAUCCGGAUUUACUGGGCGUAAAGGGUGCGUAGGCGGUCUUUCAAGUCAGAAGUUAAAUUCUACGGCUCAAUCGUAGCCAGCUUUUGAAACUGGAAGACUUGAGUGCAGGAGAGGAGAGUAGAAUUCCUAGUGUAGCGGUGAAAUGCGUAGAUAUUAGGAGGAAUACCAGUAGCGAAGGCGGCUCUCUGGACUGUAACUGACGCUGAGGCACGAAAGCGUGGGGAGCGAACAGGAUUAGAUACCCUGGUAGUCCACGCCGUAAACGAUGAGUACUAGGUGUCGGGGGUUACCCCCCUCGGUGCCGCAGCUAACGCAUUAAGUACUCCGCCUGGGGAGUACGUUCGCAAGAAUGAAACUCAAAGGAAUUGACGGGGACCCGCACAAGCAGCGGAGCAUGUGGUUUAAUUCGAAGCAACGCGAAGAACCUUACCUAAACUUGACAUCCUGGUGACCGCUCCCUAACCGGAGACUUCCCUUCGGGGACACAAGUGACAGGUGGUGCAUGGUUGUCGUCAGCUCGUGUCGUGAGAUGUUGGGUUAAGUCCCGCAUCGAGCGCAACCCUUGUCUUU
rnacentral:rRNA from 1 species